UGGGGAAUUUUUCGCAAUGGGGGCAACCCUGACGAAGCAACGCCGCGUGGAGGAUGAAGGCCUUCGGGUUGUAAACUCCUGUCGACCGGGACGAAAGCAGUUCGACCCAAUACGUCGAGCUGUUGACUGUACCGGUGGAGGAAGCCACGGCUAACUCUGUGCCAGCAGCCGCGGUAAUACAGAGGUGGCAAGCGUUGUUCGGAAUUACUGGGCGUAAAGGGCGCGUAGGCGGCCCGCUAAGUUCCGUGUGAAAUCCCUCGGCUUAACUGAGGAACCGCACGGAAAACUGGCAGGCUUGAGUUCGGGAGAGGGAAGUGGAAUUCCGGGUGUAGCGGUGAAAUGCGUAGAUAUCCGGAGGAACACCGGUGGCGAAGGCGGCUUCCUGGACCGACACUGACGCUGAGGCGCGAAAGCUAGGGGAGCAAACGGGAUUAGAUACCCCGGUAGUCCUAGCUGUAAACGAUGAGCGCUGGGUGUAGGGGGUAUGAACCCCCCCUGUGCCGAAGCUAACGCAUUAAGCGCUCCGCCUGGGGAGUACGGUCGCAAGGCUG
rnacentral:rRNA from 1 species